UGGCACACGAGGCUCACGGGGACGUCCGCAGCCGUCGACGUUUUCUUCGGUUGUUUCCGCACCGCCUUACCCCCGGUCUCCUCAUCACGUCAAAGGUCGUCGCAAGAUGACAUCCUCGCUCGCGACUGCAUUUGCCCUCAUCACGGGGGCCUCUCCAGCAGAUGCCUCUUUUUAUUCCCUUGCCUACGUCUCGGCUCUGCGGCAGUGCACCGCCUCUGCGUAUGGCCCCAUGCUCAAGUCUGUGGUAUCCUCAACCGCGGCGACAAGCCUGUACGGUGAUGGCCUCGCCGAGUGUGUCGUGCGGUGCCGACUGGAGAAGGAGCGUGAGGCGACGGAGCGCCUCACAGCAAUCCUCUUGCAAGAACUGCCGCAGACAGAAAAGCGUGGGCGACGGAGACGAAAUCCAUCUGCUACGCUGGAUGUGACGGGCGCCGAGCGAGAGGGUGUCAGCGCUGCCGACCAUCCCGUUGAGGUGGCGUUGCAUCGAAGUACGUCCGGGGCGAGUCGGACAAGCAGCAGGGCCUCCUCGGCAAGGGCUUUGCGUCGUUUGAGCGUAAAGGAGAACAAUGGGGUCUCCUCGGCCCCCGCCGCCUCGUUGGCCGGGCCGUCCGCGAAAGACAACGAGGCGGCCGUGGCACCGUUUCUCGGUGCCGCUGCUGCGCGCGCGCCUUGCUGCGACGCGUCUGCGAUACUCCUUCUUCGCAUCGGCCUGUGCCGCGCGCUCGGUUGGCCCGCACCCGUCACGUUGCAGUUGAAGGGCGACGACGGGGAUGGUGCGGGCUGCGACGAAGACGGGUCGACCAAGAGCGGCAGCGGAGCGUGCGAUCUACCAACUCAGCUUGCAGACGCACUGCUCUCGCGGUCCAGCUACCCGAACCUCCUCAGGAACCAGCGUGUGACCGAGCCGGGCGGUGCUUCGGCAGCCACGACAACCAUAGAGAAGAAGAGCGCGCACAUGUUCAUGCACAUGCCCGACACGGAUCUCCGAAAUAGCAUCAUUUUAGAAUGGGUGGAGGACGUACUCGUCUUCGCGCACUAUCAAGGCUUCACGGUGGAGCAGACACAGUGUGUGCUGCUCGACAGCCUCUUCGUUCUCGACAUGGUGGACGGGCAUCUGGUAGAAUCGACGGACGCCGCUGGUCACGUGCCGUUGGAGCAGCGAGUGUCGGACGCUCUUCAGCAGGUCUUGUGCACGCAAACCUGCCUGACGGUGACACGCACGAUCGACACGGUAUGCCGCUAUCAGCCUGUCACCAUCAAGGUGCCAGAUCCUGCGCAACUCGACGAGAUCACUGAGAAGCAGCAGAAGACUACCUCGCAGAAGGCGCUAGCAGCCCUUGAGGCAGCGAAGCAGAACAUCCCCCUCAUCUCGCAGACAGUGAUGCAGAAUGUGGAGGUGGAGGUGGAGAAGGAUGUGACGCUGCGCGCGGUCUUCACGGUGCCGGAGGCAGCGGCCAUUGCCGAGUACAUCACCCGCUCAGUUGCUACGCACAAGUGGCUGUGGGGCGUACUACUGGCACCGGUGACGGAAGAGCAGCUGCCGGCACAGCCGACCUCGGCGACAGCGGCAGCAGCGGCAGACGGGCUGUACCGCCCUGUUGUCCACCGCGAAAUCUGUGUCGCUAUAGAAAACGUUUCCUCCAUUUACUUGCCACCGCUCUCGGUCUUCCACUCAGAGGCGCUGCAAGCCGUGGUGGAUGCGCAGCGGCGCCUCUACGAGGCCUGCAAGGCCGAGCGUACACUGCAAUUCUUAACGGACUGGCAAGAGCCGCUACUGGCCAUCGCUGCGCAGGAACUUAGCGAACGGUGUGUGCUGCAAGAGGCCGUGGCGCAGGCGGAUGCGGAGGGCAGAGCUGCGGCGCUGACGUCGCAGCAGUGCGCUCGCGUCGAGCGCGCCUACGGACUUCGACUAGAGGAUGUGAUGGAGUUCAACCCCAAUGUGGUGCGCGGCGCGCCUUUCACCGCGUCCGAGCCGCCCGCGGUAGCCGCCGCGCCUCUGCCUGCACGCGCCAGCAGCAACAAGCUAAAGAAGAACGGCCCAGGUGAGUCGAUCCCGUCGACGGCUGCCGCUCCCGUUCUCUCCACUGGCGCUGCCGCCUCCGUUGUGCUGCCGACAGACGCCACCUUCAAAAUCGCUGAGGUGGAGGCGCGAGUGAAUCGCAUUGCUGCCGCCGUCGAGGGGAUGAACGACGCCGGCGCCGCCGCCUCCGCUGCUUCGCAGUGUGUGGGAAGCCGCAAGCACUAGGGCGACGCGAGCGAAGGAAUAGGGUUGAGGGAGUGAGAGGCGGCGCGGGGGGGGGGCGAGUCGCCUCUUGAAAAGAAGCCAUUGGCGGCUGUUCUCGCCGUUCUUCUCUCGCUUGCGUUCUCUUUGUAAAGUCUUGAUAUGUAUUCAAGUCUUCGUGUUUCCGAUGACGAUGAAGCAGCGGAGAAAGCAGAUGCGGUUUUCGGGGGCGUAGGGGUGCGGCCUGUCUGUCUCUGUCUGUGCCUGUAUGUGUGUUGGGAAGGAGGGCUUCGUACCUCCGACGGACUCGGCACGCUCUCCUCCGUUGACGAUCUCUCUUUUCGGUCCCCUCUUCGAUCACAAGUUGCUCACCUGUGCCUUUUCUGCACCGACGCAGAUCGACACGCGCACAGCCGACGAAAGAGGGCCGCGCUGUGCGCGUGAGUGUGUUACUCGUGGUAAGUCUGCGCUGAUAUGUACAGCAGAUCUGCUCCGCAACGCACUUUGCUUCCCCCUUUCCGCUUCGUGGUGAGCCGUGCUGGUCGCGCCGCCGGCCGUUGUGGCCUUCUUCUGUGCUUGCCCUGCCGCACUGCUCCGCUGUCGGUGAGUGUGAGGGAGAGGUGGCUGACACACGCAGCCGCGGAGACCCGACGGCCUUCUCUGCGCAUCGUUACUCACUAAAUGCUCACACCCGCUUCAGACACAGGAGGAGCACUCGACGGACCCUUCGAUGUGCCAGUUCUUG
rnacentral:misc_RNA from 1 species